AGCAUCCGGGCUCGGGAAGGUGGCCAAAACGGGCCAAAUAGGUGCUGCCAUACCCAUUUUUGCAGCUACUGCUUUGGGGUUGGAGGAGGCGGAUCCGGCGCCGGUUCGGGUCGGAAAAGGCGGAGGAGGACCGGCGGCAGCUUGGGGCGGUGGCUCAUGGCGGCCCGGCAGGCUCCCCGGCGACGGCUGGUGGCUCGGGACGACGGACGAUGGCUGCUGGCGUGCGAACGAAGCACAGA
rnacentral:lncRNA from 1 species